CACCGCUCCUCGCUACUACUAACGAUUCAGUGGUUUAGUGAGGUCGUUGAAUUGGUGUCGUUGUAGUGGCUUUGCCGAUCUAAUGAUGCUGAGAUGAUCUUAUUUGACUAUUUAGACGAAGUAAGAGUUUUAACGAGGUUUCCGUAGGUGAACCUGCGGAAG
rnacentral:ncRNA from 1 species